CUGCCCUACUUGCCUCGGCAUCACGUAGUGCGAACGCGGUCGAGUAACACGUGAGCAAUCUGCCCCUGCACUCUAGGGAUAAGCGCUGGAAACGGCGUCUAAUACCGGAUACGAGCUGCGAAGGCAUCUUCAGCAGUUGGAAAGAACUUCGGUCAGGGAUGAGCUCGCGGCCUAUCAGCUAGUUGGUGAGGUAACGGCUCACCAAGGCGUCGACGGGUAGCCGGCCUGAGAGGGUGACCGGCCACACUGGGACUGAGACACGGCCCAGACUCCUACGGGAGGCAGCAGUGGGGAAUAUUGCACAAUGGGCGCAAGCCUGAUGCAGCAACGCCGCGUGAGGGACGACGGCCUUCGGGUUGUAAACCUCUUUUAGCAGGGAAGAAGCGAAAGUGACGGUACCUGCAGAAAAAGCGCCGGCUAACUACGUGCCAGCAGCCGCGGUAAUACGUAGGGCGCAAGCGUUAUCCGGAAUUAUUGGGCGUAAAGAGCUCGUAGGCGGUUUGUCGCGUCUGCUGUGAAAACCCGAGGCUCAACCUCGGGCCUGCAGUGGGUACGGGCAGACUAGAGUGCGGUAGGGGAGAUUGGAAUUCCUGGUGUAGCGGUGGAAUGCGCAGAUAUCAGGAGGAACACCGAUGGCGAAGGCAGAUCUCUGGGCCGUAACUGACGCUGAGGAGCGAAAGGGUGGGGAGCAAACAGGCUUAGAUACCCUGGUAGUCCACCCCGUAAACGUUGGGAACUAGUUGUGGGGACCAUUCCACGGUCUCCGUGACGCAGCUAACGCAUUAAGUUCCCCGCCUGGGGAGUACGGCCGCAAGGCUAAAACUCAAAGGAAUUGACGGGGACCCGCACAAGCGGCGGAGCAUGCGGAUUAAUUCGAUGCAACGCGAAGAAACCUUACCAAAGGCUUGACAUAUACGAGAACGCUGCAGAAUGUAGAACUCUUUGGGACACUCGUAAACAAGGUGGUGCAUGGCUUGUCGUCAGCUCGUGUCGUGAGAAUGUUUGGGUUAAGGUCCCGCAACGAGCGCAACCCUUCGUUAUAUGUUGCCAGCACGUAAUGGUGGGAACUUCAUGGGAUACUGCCGGGGUCAUCUCGGAGGAAGGUGGGGACGACGUCAAAUCAUCAUGCCCCUUAUGUCUUGGGCUUCACGCAUGCUACAAUGGCCGGUACAAAGGGCUGCAAUACCGUGAGGAGGAGCGAAUCCCAAAAAGCCGGUCCCAGUUUUGUUUUGAGUCUGCAGCUUGUCCUCAGAAGUCGGAGUCGCUAGUAAUCGCGGAUCUAGAGCGGGCAUACGUGGGGGCCUU
rnacentral:rRNA from 1 species